UACGGAGGGUGCAAGCGUUAUCCGGAUUCACUGGGUUUAAAGGGUGCGUAGGUGGUCUUGUAAGUCAGUGGUGAAAGCCCGGAGCUCAACUCCGGAACUGCCAUUGAUACUGCUUAACUUGAAUCAACUUGAGGUGGAUGGAAUAUUACAUGUAGCGGUGAAAUGCUUAGAUAUGUAAUAGAACACCGAUUGCGAAGGCAGUUCACUAAGGUUGUAUUGACACUGAGGCACGAAAGCGUGGGGAUCAAACAGG
rnacentral:rRNA from 1 species